rnacentral:tRNA from 1 species
GGGAAGGUAGCUCAGUGGCAGAGCUCUUGCCUUGCAUGCAUGAGGCCCUGGGUUCGAUUCCUCAGCACCA